rnacentral:rRNA from 1 species
UCUUUUCCUUUUGGUCAUUUAGAGGAAGUAAAAGUCGUAACAAGGUUUCGUAGAAUAAGUCUCGGAGCAUAUGAUUCUUCCACAGUGAAGCUUAUAGAGCCUUUGCAGCCUGGCAACAGGUAGCCUUGCGACUCUAAAUAAUAGGGCUUAUGCAAGUCAGAGGGAGUAUCCUUCUGGCAACACAACCGAACUGACGGGACACCUUAAAGCCUACUCCACCAACCGACCCAGGAAACCGGGUUGGGCCCAUGUUAACAGCAUGGGGUAUGGUAAGAGAGAGUCGGGAUGUUACAAAGGUAAUCCGCAGCGAAGAUCCUAAGUGCAGCGCAUACGGAUAACGUUCCAGACUAAGUGGUUGUGGGCACGGUAGAGACCGUGCUUUAGAUAUAGUCGGACCCUGGGGAGACCUAGGGAGUAAUAUCACUACAUAUCCGUUCCGUAGUGAACCUGCGGAAGGAUCAUUACAGAGUUCAUGCCCUCACGGGUAGAUUCCCACCCUUGAAUACUAUACCUUUGUUGCUUUGGCGGGCCGCUUCGGCACUGGCUCCAGCUAGUGAGUGCCCGCCAAAGGAUCCCAAAACUCUGAAUUUUGUGUCGUCUGAGUACUAUGUAAUAGUUAAAACUUU